GGAGGAGCAGAGGCGGAAGGUCCCGGCGGCGGCGAGGAUGCGCCCCAGGGCGGGAGCGGGACGCUCCGCUUUACCCUGGCUCCCCGCAACGGGCCAGGCCUGCCGUCUCGACCUCUCUACCUGUGAGUUUUUUCCCUGCAUUUACUUCAGUCUGCCGCGUCUUCUCCCCGCCCUUCUCUGUAAGGUAAAUAUGUGGAGGAAAUAAUUCCUAUUAAAGGUAAAGGAAAGGAGAGCAAUUUGAAUGAAGAAACAGGUAGUUGCUAUCGUCGUUUUCAGCCAAAGCCCUCUGGCUGCUAGAGAGUAUACAUGGUUCUCUGGUGUCAAGGCCUGUUUUCCAUAAGCUUUCUGGAUUCUCAGCUUAGUUCCCUCAAAGUGAUCUCUGCAAGUCGGCCCUUCGGUCAGAAGACCUCCUCCAAAAACAGAAAGCCCAAAGAUUCCCUAACUCGAUUGAAAAGAUAGGAAGAUACGAAGAAAAACUAACCUAAAGAAUUGUGUGGUUUAUCUGCAAAGAGUUCUAGACUAAAAGCCAACAAUGCAAAGAUAGUAUGAGUUAAUAUUUUUGUUGUGGCUCUCUUCUGCCAUUCCCGCUUCCUCAAGGUAAUGUGCCCCGAGGCCUGGUAGAACUGUUUUGUAGAGGCAGCCAAUAGUGAUCCAGUUAUUGUCUUUACUAGUCAGACCACCUCUGAAGUGCUGUGUUCAGCAUUUGAAGAAGACUUUAAUCAAGCUGGCAUUAUAUCAGGGAAGAGCAAAAUGAUGAAGAGAACUCAAAAACAGGGCAAGUGAAGAAGUAUUGAUUAAACCUUCCAGGACUCACCUAGAAGAGAGAAAACUACUGGACUCUCUCCAAAUAUGAAAUGACCUAUCAUGUGAAGUUGAUUUGUUUCAUGUGAUGCAAACUUCAGGGAACAGAUUUAAGAUCCUGAAAAGAAGAUGCCCUUGUAGCACGACCCAAAGAAUUGCCUACCUUAGCAUGUGUGAAUACCUCAACCACAGAAUUUUGCUUCAAGGAGAUUCUGAAGCUCACUUAAUAGGGACUUGGUACAGGGGAGCCACACAUCAACAGAAUAAUUAGUUGAUGGUUUUGUUAAAGAUAUUUCCAAUCUUGAGAUUACAUGUGUCUUUGGUCCUGGACUUCAUAGAGUUUACAAGUUAGUUCAUGAGACAAGACAAAUGCAUCACAAAAAUAAAUAAUGCAAGGAGGCCAAGUGAUAAUGAGAGGUGCUGAUAAGUGCUAGGAAUUCACAUGACAGAUUAUUCCCAUCACAGUUCCAGAGGCUUAAGGGAGAAGAGAGGAACUGAAAAUAGACUACCUAGAACUACCCUAUCCAUUGGGGUAGCCACCAGUUAAAUACGUCUCUUGACAUUUGAAAUGUGGCUUGUCCAAACUGAGACAUGCAAUGAGUCCAAAAUGUACACCAGAUUUCAAAGACUUAGAAAACAAAUGUAAAAUAUUGUAAUUCUUAUGUCGAUUACAUGUUGAAAUAAUAUAUAAUGGAUCAAAUAAAAUAUGUUAAAAUUAA
rnacentral:antisense_RNA from 1 species